AUAAUACAGAAGACAAAACGCUACUAACAGUCUCAUUCAGAUGCACAUCAGUGAAAACUGGAAACCAGGCUUUCUCUUGACUUGGGAACUCCUCACCAGUGUGGCUGGUACCUGACAGGGAUGAAGGUGAUUGAGGAGAUGCCAGUCCUCUGUUCCGUAACAUUUUGGAACUUCAUUGUUCUUCUUGAGUGUGACACAAAGACCUGUAUUCCCUCUGCGUCAUGCAUCUUACAAUUGUUAGACAAGGAUGUACUUCCACAAUACUCUGCCUUUAGGGGCAAAGCCAGAUUAAAGGAUCCUCUGUUCUCCCCUACUGUUCUGCUGGCAACUUGUUAUCCUGUACUACUGUUCACCACCCCACGCACACAAAGGUUUGUGAGGCAAUGCUUACAUGAUCUGAAGUGAUCCAUGUUAAAAAUAACUCUCAAAAAAGGUUAUUUUCAGUGAUCCCAUUUAUCCUGUGCUCCCACAAACAGUUGUUGUGGAAUAACUGAAGGCGGGAAGUCGCAGCGGAAAAGCUGGACCACGCAGCCGGAGGUGGGAGGGAGCAGCUGAAGCCAAUGUGUUGUGAUCCUGUGCUGGUAGUCCCAACAACAAGAUGGACUCUGCUGCCAUUAACACCUUUGCACAUAUGGUUCUGAUCCAAUUCCUUCCAAAAGCAGUAGGCUUCAUUACGUUGAUGUUAAUCAGGGGCUCUAGGAAGGUGGUCUUUUCCUCACCUUGACUCACUAAAAACUGCAAAGGUUGGGUGAUUGGCGUUGUUGUUUUUGUUUUUUUCUCUGAGAAUGUUUUGCUGUAUAUUUCCAAGUUAAUAAUUCUGCAAUUAUGUAAACCACUCUUUUCCAUAUUCACUUACUGGAUUGUUUGUGCUGGUUAAAUAUUCUCAUGUUAAUGAUAAAUCUGAAAUAAAAAAUGAGCAACUGAGUACUCUGCCAUAAACCCAUACAAAA